rnacentral:rRNA from 1 species
UGGGGAAUUUUUCGCAAUGGGGGCAACCCUGACGAAGCAACGCCGCGUGGGUGAUGAAGUAUCUCGGUACGUAAAACCCUUUCGACGGGGAAGAAACCGCAAGGUUGACGGUACCCGUAGAAGAAGCCCCGGCUAACUCCGUGCCAGCAGCCGCGGUAAUACGGGGGGGGCAAGCGUUGUUCGGAAUUACUGGGCGUAAAGGGCGCGUAGGCGGUUUGCUAAGUUGAAUGUGAAAACUCUGGGCUUAACCCAGAGCCUGCAUUCAAUACUGGCAGGCUAGAGUUCUGGAGGGGAUAGCGGAAUUCCUGGUGUAGCGGUGAAAUGCGUAGAUAUCAGGAGGAACACCGGUGGCGAAGGCGGCUAUCUGGACAGAGUCUGACGCUGAGGCGCGAAAGCUAGGGGAGCAAACAGGAUUAGAUACCCCCGUAGUCC